GCCAAUACAAGGGGAUUUCAAAAAGUUCAUGGAAUCACAGCCAGUUAUAGAUUUCUUUGCUUCUUUUCCACUCCCACUGUUUCACUUGACCAGCCUAAA
ensembl:misc_RNA Y_RNA Y RNA